rnacentral:rRNA from 1 species
AGUGAACGCUGGCGGUAGGCCUAACAUAUGCAAGUCGAACGGCAGCACAGUAAGAGCUUGCUCUUACGGGUGGCGAGUGGCGGACGGGUGAGGAAUACAUCGGAAUCUACUUUUUCGUGGGGGAUAACGUAGGGAAACUUACGCUAAUACCGCAUACGACCUACGGGUGAAAGCAGGGGAUCUUCGGACCUUGCGCGAUUGAAUGAGCCGAUGUCGCAUUAGCUAGUUGGCGGGGUAAAGGCCCACCAAGGCGACGAUCCGUAGCUGGUCUGAGAGGAUGAGCAGCCACACUGGAACUGAGACACGGUCCAGACUCCUACGGGAGGCAGCAGUGGGGAAUAUUGGACAAUGGGCGCAAGCCUGAUCCAGCCAUACCGCGUGGGUGAAGAAGGCCUUCGGGUUGUAAAGCCCUUUUGUUGGGAAAGAAAAGCAGCAGGUUAAUACCCCGCUGUUCUGACGGUACCCAAAGAAUAAGCACCGGCUAACUUCGUG